UACGUAGGGUGCAAGCGUUAAUCGGAAUUACUGGGCGUAAAGCGUGCGCAGGCGGUGAUGUAAGACAGAUGUGAAAUCCCCGAGCUCAACUUGGGAAUUGCAAUGGAUACUGGCAGGCUGGAGUAUGGUAGAGGAAGGUGGAAUUCCCGGUGUAGCAGUGAAAUGCGUAGAGAUCGGGAGGAACACCAGUGGCGAAGGCGGCCUUCUGGACCAAUACUGACGCUCAUGCACGAAAGCGUGGGGAGCAAACAGG
rnacentral:rRNA from 1 species